rnacentral:rRNA from 1 species
GGAGGGUGCGAGCGUUGUUCGGAUUUAUUGGGCGUAAAGCGCGUGUAGGUGGCUUUGUAAGUCAGGUGUGAAAGCCCAGGGCUUAACCCUGGAAGUGCAUUUGAUACUGCGAAGCUUGAGUACUGGAGAGGAUAGUAGAAUUCCUGGUGUAGUGGUGAAAUACGUAGAUAUCGGGAGGAAUACCGGUGGCGAAGGCGGCUAUCUGGCCAUGUACUGACACUGAGACACGAAAGCGUGGGGAUCAAACAGGAUUAGAUACCCUGGUAGUCCACGCCGUAAACAAUGGAUAUUUGGUGUUGGAGGUAUUGACCCCUUCAGUGCCGAAGCUAACGCGUUAAAUAUCCCGCCUGGGGAGUACGGUCGCAAGAUUA